ACGGGAGGCAGCAGUGGGGAAUAUUGCACAAUGGGCGCAAGCCUGAUGCAGCAACGCCGCGUGAGGGAAGACGGUUUUCGGAUUGUAAACCUCUGUCUUCGGUGACGAACAAUGACGGUAGCCGAGGAGGAAGCCACGGCUAACUACGUGCCAGCAGCCGCGGUAAUACGUAGGUGGCAAGCGUUAUCCGGAAUUACUGGGUGUAAAGGGAGCGCAGGCGGGACAGCAAGUCAGCGGUGAAAUUUAUGGGCUCGACCCAUAAACUGCCGUUGAAAUUGUUGUUCUUGAGUGGAGUAGAGGCAGGCGGAAUUCCGAGUGUAGCGGUGAAAUGCGUAGAUAUUCGGAGGAACACCAGUGGCGAAGGCGGCCUGCUGGGCUCUAACUGACGCUGAGGCUCGAAAGUGUGGGGAGCAAACAGGAUUAGAUACCCUGGUA
rnacentral:rRNA from 1 species